GGGGGUGUAGCUCAGUGGUAGAGCGCGCGCUUCGCAUUACCAAAACAUUGGCUUGGACAUGCGCGAGGCCCGGGGUUCAAUCCCCCGCUCCUCCA
rfam:Rhodosporidium toruloides NP11 unplaced genomic scaffold Scaffold59, whole genome shotgun sequence.